rnacentral:ncRNA from 1 species
GAGGCAGCAGUAGGGAAUUUUCGGCAAUGGGGGAAACCCUGACCGAGCAACGCCGCGUGAGGGAAGAAGUAUUUCGGUAUGUAAACCUCUGUUAUAAAGGAAGAACGGUAUGAAUAGGAAAUGAUUCAUAAGUGACGGUACUUUAUGAGAAAGCCACGGCUAACUACGUGCCAGCAGCCGCGGUAAUACGUAGGUGGCGAGCGUUAUCCGGAAUCAUUGGGCGUAAAGAGGGAGCAGGCGGCAAUAGAGGUCUGCGGUGAAAGCCUGAAGCUAAACUUCAGUAAGCCGUGGAAACCAAAUAGCUAGAGUGCAGUAGAGGAUCGUGGAAUUCCAUGUGUAGCGGUGAAAUGCGUAGAUAUAUGGAGGAACACCAGUGGCGAAGGCGACGAUCUGGGCUGCAACUGACGCUCAGUCCCGAAAGCGUGGGGAGCAAAUAGGAUUAGAUACCCUAGUAGUCCACGCCGUAAACGAUGAGUACUAAGUGUUGGGGGUCAAACCUCAGUGCUGCAGUUAACGCAAUAAGUACUCCGCCUGAGUAGUACGUUCGCAAGAAUGAAACUCAAAGGAAUUGACGGGGGCCCGCACAAGCGGUGGAGCAUGUGGUUUAAUUCGAAGCAACGCGAAGAACCUUACCAGGUCUUGACAUACCUCUAAAGGCUCUAGAGAUAGAGAGAUAGCUAUAGGGGAUACAGGUGGUGCAUGGUUGUCGUCAGCUCGUGUCGUGAGAUGUUGGGUUAAGUCCCGCAACGAGCGCAACCCUUGUCGCUAGUUACCAUCAUUAAGUUGGGGACUCUAGCGAGACUGCCUCUGCAAGGAGGAGGAAGGCGGGGAUGACGUCAAAUCAUCAUGCCCCUUAUGACCUGGGCUACACACGUGCUACAAUGGACGGAUCAAAGGGAAGCGAAGCCGCGAGGUGGAGCGAAACCCAAAAACCCGUUCUCAGUUCGGACUGCAGUCUGCAACUCGACUGCACGAAGUUGGAAUCGCUAGUAAUCGCGAAUCAGAAUGUCGCGGUGAAUACGUUCUCGGGCCUUGUACACACCGCCCGUCACACCAUGAGAGUUGGUAACACCCGAAGCCGGUGGCUUAACCGCAAGGAGAGAGCUGUCUAAGGUGGGACUGAUGAUUAGGGUGAAGUCGUAACAAGGUAUCCCUACGGGAACGUGGGGAUGGAUCACCUCCUUU